rnacentral:rRNA from 1 species
UACGGGGGGGGCAAGCGUUGUUCGGAAUUACUGGGCGUAAAGGGCUCGUAGGUGGCCAAUAAGUCAGACGUGAAAUCCCCCGGCUUAACCGGGGAACUGCGUCUGAUACUGGAUGGCUUGAGUUCGGGAGAGGGAUGCGGAAUUCCAGGUGUAGCGGUGAAAUGCGCUAGAUAUCAGGAGGAACACCAGUGGCGAAGGCAGCUCC